GAGUUUGAUCCUGGCUCAGGACGAACGCUGGCGGCGUGCUUAACACAUGCAAGUCGAACGGUAAGGCUCCAGCUUGCUGGGUACACGAGUGGCGAACGGGUGAGUAACACGUGGGUGACCUGCCCUGCACUUCGGGAUAAGCCUGGGAAACUGGGUCUAAUACCGGAUAGGACCGCACCGUGAGGGUGUGGUGGAAAGUUUUUUCGGUGUGGGAUGGGCCCGCGGCCUAUCAGCUUGUUGGUGGGGUAAUGGCCUACCAAGGCGGCGACGGGUAGCCGGCCUGAGAGGGUGGACGGCCACAUUGGGACUGAGACACGGCCCAGACUCCUACGGGAGGCAGCAGUGGGGAAUAUUGCACAAUGGGCGGAAGCCUGAUGCAGCGACGCCGCGUGGGGGAUGACGGCC
rnacentral:rRNA from 1 species